CGAGUAAGUCAGAUGAUCGCGUACACAGUUUAUCUGUGGACGAGGAAAGUCCGAGCUCCAGAGGGCAGGGUGCUGGGUAAUCCCCAGUGGAGGUGACUCCAAGGAAAGUGCAACAGAGAGAUACCGCCCUCUACAUCAAUAAAGUGAUAUUCACUUUACGUUGGUAGGGGGUAAGGGUGGAAAGGUGAGGUAAGAGCUCACCAGCAGCUAGGUGACUAGUUGGCUAUGUAAACCCCACCUGGAGCAAGACCAAGUAGGGACAAAAAAACGGCUGCCCGUCGUGUCCCGUGGUAGGUCGCUUGAGCCAAUUGGCAACAAUUGGCCUAGAUAGAUGAUCAUUUAAUACAGAACUCGGCUUAUAGAUUUACUCGCAUG
rnacentral:RNase_P_RNA from 1 species